UGGCCCCAUGGUCAAGCGGUUAAGACACCACCCUUUCACGGUGGGAACAGGGGUUCGAAUCCCCUUGGGGUCAU
rnacentral:tRNA from 1 species